GGGGGUAUAGCUCAGUUGGUAGAGUGCUUGCCUCGAGUACACAAGGCCCUGGGUUCAUUCCCCAGCACUACCA
rnacentral:tRNA from 1 species